ensembl:lncRNA uncharacterized LOC114782609
CGUACCUGCUGCAGUCACCAGCCAUGCAGGAAGAGAGCUGCAGCAGCACCAUGACCUCGAUGUGCUUCUCUGCUGUUGUUCUGUUUGUAGCUUUGAGUCUCUCAGAUGCUACUGAGAACCCGACCACACCCAGUCCCAUGAUGACACUGCCAACCACAUUCACAACCAAAACUCUCUCGCAGCCUGUCAGCCAAUCAGAGCCCGAUCUCAACAGCACUCUGAGCACAGUACCAUCGCAAACCAUCAACCAAUCAGAGUCUAGCUCCACCCCCUCAGCUGCAGAGAGCCAGCCUACUGUCAGCAGCACCACCUAUGUCUUAUCAACCUUCAACAAGAUCUCGACUCUCAGGCCAUCUCAAACCGCCUCUGGAGGGCUGAUCAUCCUCUUCUUCCUCAUCCUCACCAUCACUGUACUUUUUCUGCUCCUGUUCAUACUGAGGAAAAAGUCCAGGAGCUUCUCAUUCGAUCUCACUUCUCCUGAGUACGAUCAAACAUGUGAUACUCCACUGCAGGAGCAAUUUCAACCAAAAAACACAGAUGCGUCCUCCAGGCCAGAGUUGCUGCUGGACGACUGUGGACCAGUGUCUACUCAAUUAGCCAAUGGGAGUUCGGCAGCGGUGGAGGCAGCUUCACAGACCGGCUGCAAUAAGGAAGUGGGCGUGGCUGAGUCAUUGGGCUCGGAGGAUGGGUUCCAUCUUGAUCUUUUAUCUCCUGCUGCUGACACUGAACUCACUCUGGAUCUGGAUCUCUGCAACGCGCUGUCAACAGGAAACCCCGUCGAACAAGAGGAGCAGCUCAAUGAGAACAACAACAACCUUGCUGUUAUGGGCCCGGCUGAUUUGAGCAUUGCUGUGGAGGAGGACUUUACUGAAAUCAGUCUGAAUUAAACCAGCAGAAAGGAUGUGUGACAGUGACGACUGCUCAUGGCUGGGGGAGGUUUACUGAUGACCUGUAUCCACUUACAAUUAAAAAUCAAUAUUGUUCUCAUCUUACAGUGCUGAUAAUUAAUAAAAAAUCUGUUUAGUUAUUAAACCUUCA